AUACCAUGACUUUGACACUUCCUCAAUAACUCUUUGAAUCAUUCGCAUGCCUCAUGAAUGUUCUCAAAUUCAACUUGUUGAAAAGUUGAAAUUUCAUACUUAAGCUU